GAGGGUUCGAAGGCACGAUGGAGGCAGGACACGGGCAUCGGAGAGGACUCGGCCAGGAGGACCCUCAGCGUGACGCAGCAGGAUGGAAUGACCCACGUGGAGGGCUAGAGGCUAAGGUGCCAUAAGAUGCCUGGAAGUGUGAAGCCACACACUGAGGAGGAGACUGAAAAGG